rnacentral:rRNA from 1 species
CACGUAGGGCGCAAGCGUUGUCCGGAAUUACUGGGCGUAAAGAGCUCGUAGGUGGUUUGUCGCGUUGUUCGUGAAAACUCACAGCUCAACUGUGGGCGUGCGGGCGAUACGGGCAGACUUGAGUACUGCAGGGGAGACUGGAAUUCCUGGUGUAGCGGUGGAAUGCGCAGAUAUCAGGAGGAACACCGGUGGCGAAGGCGGGUCUCUGGGCAACAACUGACGCUGAGGAGCGAAAGCGUGGGGAGCGAACAGGA